GUCGGAGACAUGGGAGACCCGGGUUCGAAGGUGAGUAGUCGAGUGAGGGUCCUGGCGUUCUCAAAGGCGAACCGCGAAGGGUUUGUGUUUACUGCGGUCUGAGGCCUGGUGCUCCGUCGCAGCCUCGGGGCGAUACCUCUUCAGUGUCUGAGGCCGAGCCCAGCUCUGGGGCUUGAUAAUAGAAUCUGUCCCUCCAGCUGGCCCUGAGGCAUCUGAGUCAACAACGGAUGAAAAUGAAGACGACAUUCGGUUUGUCAGUGAAGGACCAUCGAGACCUGUUCUUGAAUACAUCGAUCUGGUCUGUGGUGAUGAUGAAAACCCUAGAACCUAUUAUAGUGAUAUUCUGUUUCCUAAAAUGCCAAAACGACAGGGUGAUUUUUUGCAUUUUUUAAAUAUGAAGAAGGUGAAAACAGACACAGAAAAUAAUGAAGUGAGCAAAAAUCAUUGCGGAUUGUCUAAGGCAAAGGAACCACAUUUCGAGUAUAUUGAACAACCAAUUAUUGAAGAAAAGCCAUCACUUUCAUCAAAGAAAGAAAUAGAUAAUCUUGUGCUUCCAGAUUGUUGGAAUGAAAAACAAGCAUUUAUGUUUACAGAACAAUACAAAUGGCUUGAAAUAAAAGAAGGUAAAUUAGGAUGUAAGGAUUGUUCAACAGUUCGGCAUUUGGGAUCGAAAGCAGAAAAGCAUGUCCAUGUGUCCAAGG
rnacentral:sRNA from 1 species